GUCAGGAAGACGAUGACAUGUGUUCACACAUGUGCUGAAAAGAAACCUAUUAGGAGAUGAUUUGGAAAUCGGAACAGAACUCCAAGAGCUUAAAUGCAUUUUAUAAAUGUAUUCAGAGGAUAAAUUGGGUAAUUGCUGACCUGAACCAUAGUUGACCUUUGACCCUCAGUGAUCCUGCCCCAUCCAGCCUGUUCUUACCGUUUCUGUGACGGCGUCAUCAGAGUGGACAACUUGUCGUUGUAGAACCUCC